AGGCUGCGCCCUGCUUAAUGCCUGAUGAUCUGAGGCAAAGUUGGACAUCCCAAAGAUGGCAUAGAUAAACAUGACCAGGAAGAGCAGGAGGCCGAUGUUAAACAACGCAGGAAGGGACAUCAUCAAAGCAAAGAGCAGCGUGCGGAUCCCCUUUGCUCCUUUGAUCAGACGUAGGAUUCGGCCAAUCCUGGCAAGACGGAUCACUCGGAACAAGACCCACCUAGGAUGCAUCACCUUUAUCUCUGGAAGCC
rnacentral:lncRNA from 1 species